rnacentral:rRNA from 5 species
AAAUUGAAGAGUUUGAUCAUGGCUCAGAUUGAACGCUGGCGGCAGGCCUAACACAUGCAAGUCGAGCGGUAGCACAGAGAGCUUGCUCUCGGGUGACGAGCGGCGGACGGGUGAGUAAUGUCUGGGAAACUGCCUGAUGGAGGGGGAUAACUACUGGAAACGGUAGCUAAUACCGCAUAACGUCGCAAGACCAAAGUGGGGGACCUUCGGGCCUCAUGCCAUCAGAUGUGCCCAGAUGGGAUUAGCUAGUAGGUGGGGUAACGGCUCACCUAGGCGACGAUCCCUAGCUGGUCUGAGAGGAUGACCAGCCACACUGGAACUGAGACACGGUCCAGACUCCUACGGGAGGCAGCAGUGGGGAAUAUUGCACAAUGGGCGCAAGCCUGAUGCAGCCAUGCCGCGUGUGUGAAGAAGGCCUUCGGGUUGUAAAGCACUUUCAGCGGGGAGGAAGGCGGUGAGGUUAAUAACCUCAUCGAUUGACGUUACCCGCAGAAGAAGCACCGGCUAACUCCGUGCCAGCAGCCGCGGUAAUACGGAGGGUGCAAGCGUUAAUCGGAAUUACUGGGCGUAAAGCGCACGCAGGCGGUCUGUCAAGUCGGAUGUGAAAUCCCCGGGCUCAACCUGGGAACUGCAUUCGAAACUGGCAGGCUAGAGUCUUGUAGAGGGGGGUAGAAUUCCAGGUGUAGCGGUGAAAUGCGUAGAGAUCUGGAGGAAUACCGGUGGCGAAGGCGGCCCCCUGGACAAAGACUGACGCUCAGGUGCGAAAGCGUGGGGAGCAAACAGGAUUAGAUACCCUGGUAGUCCACGCUGUAAACGAUGUCGAUUUGGAGGUUGUGCCCUUGAGGCGUGGCUUCCGGAGCUAACGCGUUAAAUCGACCGCCUGGGGAGUACGGCCGCAAGGUUAAAACUCAAAUGAAUUGACGGGGGCCCGCACAAGCGGUGGAGCAUGUGGUUUAAUUCGAUGCAACGCGAAGAACCUUACCUGGUCUUGACAUCCACAGAACUUAGCAGAGAUGCUUUGGUGCCUUCGGGAACUGUGAGACAGGUGCUGCAUGGCUGUCGUCAGCUCGUGUUGUGAAAUGUUGGGUUAAGUCCCGCAACGAGCGCAACCCUUAUCCUUUGUUGCCAGCGGUCCGGCCGGGAACUCAAAGGAGACUGCCAGUGAUAAACUGGAGGAAGGUGGGGAUGACGUCAAGUCAUCAUGGCCCUUACGACCAGGGCUACACACGUGCUACAAUGGCAUAUACAAAGAGAAGCGACCUCGCGAGAGCAAGCGGACCUCAUAAAGUAUGUCGUAGUCCGGAUUGGAGUCUGCAACUCGACUCCAUGAAGUCGGAAUCGCUAGUAAUCGUAGAUCAGAAUGCUACGGUGAAUACGUUCCCGGGCCUUGUACACACCGCCCGUCACACCAUGGGAGUGGGUUGCAAAAGAAGUAGGUAGCUUAACCUUCGGGAGGGCGCUUACCACUUUGUGAUUCAUGACUGGGGUGAAGUCGUAACAAGGUAACCGUAGGGGAACCUGCGGUUGGAUCACCUCCUUACCUUAAAGAA